CAGACUGGAUUAUUUACAGAUCACUGCCAUAUAAAAUGUAGUGGUGGUUCGAUUAGUUGAAAUAAUCGAAGAUUGGUCGCAAUGACUAAACGACCGAGCAAUCGAUCAUGUUUUCU